rnacentral:rRNA from 1 species
AUUGAACGCUGGCGGCAGGCCUAACACAUGCAAGUCGAACGAGUGGGGGACGGGUGAGUAAUGUAUGGGAAACUGCCCGAUGGAGGGGGGUAACUACUGGAAACGGGAGAUAAUACCGCAUAACAUAGGAUGUGCCCAGAUGGGAUGAGCUAGAAGGUGGGGUAACGGCUCACCAAGGAGACGAUCCCUAGCUGGUCUGAGAGGAUGGCCAGCCACCCUGGAACUGAGCCACGCUCCAGACUCCUACGGGGGGCGGCAGUGGGGAAUAUUGCACAAUGGGCGCAAGCCUGAUGCGGCCCGGCCGCGUGUAUGAAGAAGGCCUUCGGGUUGUAAAGUACUUUCAUCGAGGAGGCGUUACUCGCAGAAGAAGCACCGGCUAACUCCGUGCCAGCAGCCGCGGUAAUAC